CGGGCAGUAGCUGAGGGGUAGAGCUCACGCUUCAUAUGCGGGGAAACCUGGGUUCGAUUCCCGGCUGCUUGC
rnacentral:tRNA from 1 species